UUUGAGGACGAUCUUCCUUAAUUUGAUAUAAAGAUAUUAUAUAUAUUCAGAAAUAUCUACAUAAAUUUUAAAAAGUUGUUAUAUAUUCAACAAUGUUUUCCUAAAUAUGCAUAUAAGUCAAAUUUAGAAAGAUGUCUUACUAUUUAGGACGACCUUGCUAAAUUUACAUUCAAGAAGAUAUCAUAAACAUUCAUAAAAGUCUUUCUAAACUUUUUUUUAGGAAAAAUAGUUUUAUAGAAAAAAAUUUAAAAAAAUUAAGGAAAAUUUUUUUUGAACAUUAUAUAUUUUUUCAAUUUUUUUAAUAUCAUUAAUUUUAUAUAUUCAAUAGUUUUCUAGCCGCAAGAACAUUAUAUACUAGUAUAUCGCCUGUGCUGCGCACAGGUUAAUUUAUUGUUUUAAAUUUUUAUCAUUUUUAUAAUGUUCAGUCAGAAUAAAUUAUUAUUAAUAUUAGAUGAACAGUGUUAUAUAUUAGAGAUUCUGGUCCAGAAACAAAACAAUUGAAACUUGAAAGGAUAAAACAAAUGUCACUAUAAAAUGGAUACAUGUUUGCAAAACUUUUUAAAAU
rnacentral:lncRNA from 1 species